GGUGGUGAACCUCCUGCUCCAAACCCAGGAGCAGAGUGAGUCAGAGCUCCAGGACGCACAUGACCAGAUCUCAGACGCACACAGGCAGAUCAGCGCGUACAUGGCACAGCUGGAGGACGCACACAGGGAGCUGGAGGUGUACAUGGACCAGCUGCAGCAAGCGUCUUCCCAGAUCGAGGAGAUGAGGGAGAGAGGGAGGGAGGAGGAGAGGAAGAGGGAGGAGGAGGAGGAGGAGGAGGAGGAGGAGAGGCGGAGGAAGGAGGCAACACUGAAGAAGGAGCAACUAGAAGGCAAAAUUAGAGCGAGAAUCGAGGAAGAGAGAGAGAGAAUCGAAGCAAGCUACGUCGAGCGAGAGAGGAGUGCUGUGGAGCAGGUGGAGCGAGCCGUUAGAGAGAGGUGAGGCAGGAUUGGUUGUUGUUAUGUUUGAGCCGUUUUAUGGGUGUUUA